rnacentral:lncRNA from 1 species
GUGCCUUAGGGGUCUUUGAUCGAGACUUCAUUUAGAGGAAAAAGGAGCUAACUCUGGACAAAAGCUUACUGGCGAGGAGAAGAACACCCCUCGAGCUAGGGCAAAGGGUGACAACAGACUAAGAGAGGACAGACCUGCCCGGAGGAGGUGAUUGAAGCUGACCAAAGAGAAGAUAAUCGGAGGGCUGAGAUGCAUGGAUUGCGAGUAGAGAAGAGAGACCAUUCGAUCAAGAGCAAGAAGCGUCUCGUGCAAGUUUCUUCUACCCUUUCCCCUCUUUCAUUUUUUUCCCUUUUUUUUUUCUUUUCUCAACCCUAUAAAAAGGGG